rnacentral:piRNA from 1 species
UGAACAAGCCGAUAACGAAGC